rnacentral:lncRNA from 1 species
CCGAGUUGUCUUGCCAAAUCUAUACCAGCAAUUACAGCCUCGUACUCUGCUUCAUUGUUUGUUAUAGAAUGACAUUUUAUAGCUUUCCUAAUAGUUUCACCCGUAGGUGGUAUGAGAACAAUACCCAGACCUGUCCUUUUACAUUAGAUGAACCGUUACUCAAUAAAACCCAAGUCCCCGAUUUUGCACCAUUAAAAACUUGUAAUUCUUUUUCUGAUUCUAAAUGCAUCCCCUAACUAAAAUCAGCCACGAAAUCAG